AGUGAACGCUGGCGGCAGGCCUAAUACAUGCAAGUCGAACGGCAGCACAGCAGAGCUUGCUCUGUGGGUGGCGAGUGGCGGACGGGUGAGGAAUACGUGGGAAUCUGCCCAGUCGUGGGGGAUAACGUAGGGAAACUUACGCUAAUACCGCAUGCGCCUUCGGGAAAGCCGGGACCUUCGGCCUGGCGCGAUUGGAUGAGCCCACGUCGGAUUAGCUAGUUGGCGGGGUAAAGGGCCCACCAAGGCGACGAUCCGUAGCUGGUCUGAGAGGAUGAUCAGCCACACUGGAACUGAGACACGGUCCAGAACUCCUACGGGAGGCAGCAGUAGGGAAU
rnacentral:rRNA from 1 species